rnacentral:lncRNA from 1 species
UUUCUGAUUCCAAACUUUGCUUACUUACUAAAAUCAACUCUGUCACCUGGAUUAUAGCUUCAGCUGCCUCUAAUCACAUGACACAUGAUAAACAGUUACUUUUUAACAUCACACCUUUAACUCUGCCAUAUCUUGUCACUCUUCCUAAUGGCUAUAAAGUGAAAGUAACAUGCACAGGCUCUUUUGCAUUGAGUCCUUCCAUCACUCUUCACAAUGUAC